rnacentral:rRNA from 1 species
GUGCCAGCAGCCGCGGUAAUACGUAGGGGGCAAGCGUUGUCCGGAUUCAUUGGGCGUAAAGAGCGUGUAGGCGGCCAGGUAGGUCGGUUGUGAAAACUGGAGGCUCAACCUUCAGAGGUCGACCGAAACCAUCUGGCUAGAGUCCGGGAGAGGAGAGUGGAAUUCCUGGUGUAGCGGUGAAAUGCGCAGAUAUCAGGAAGAACACCCGUGGCGAAAGCGGCUCUCUGGAACGGUACUGACGCUGAGACGCGAAAGCGUGGGGAGCGAACAGGAUUAGAAACCCCCGUAGUCC